GGCUUAAGCAUGUGCACGCCCUCUUUCUCGACCUCGGUCCUUAUGGGCGCGGGGCGACCCGCGUCUUCAUAAGCCCCCUUCGUGUAGAAAGUCUAUGAAUGUUUUUACCAUCAUCGACUCGCGACUUCUAGGAGACGCGAUUCUUUGAGACAAAAGUUAAUUACAACUUUCAGCAAUGGAUCUCUUGGCUCUCGCAUCGAUGAAGAACGCAGCGAAUCGCGAUAUGUAAUGUGAAUUGCAGAUCUACAGUGAAUCAUCGAAUCUUUGAACGCACCUUGCGCUUAUCGGUGUUCCGAUGAGCAUGCCUGUUUGAGCGUCAUUAAAUUCUCAACCCCUCUCGAUUUGUUUCGAGAGGGAGCUUGGAUAGUGGAGGCUGCCGGAGACCUGUUUUCAGGACUCGGGCUCCUCUGAAAUGUAUUGGCUUGCGGUCGACUUUCGACUGUGCAUGACAAGGCCUUUGGCGUGAUAAUGAUCGCCGCUCGCCGAAGUGCACGAAUGAACGGUCUCGUGCCUCUAAUCAGUCGACCCCUUUUCGAAGGCGUGUCUUCCUUAUCGACGUUUGACCUCAAAUCACGUAGGACUACCCGCUGAACUUAA
rnacentral:rRNA from 1 species